rnacentral:lncRNA from 1 species
UUUCGACACCAUUGACCAUUACGAAAACCAUCCAAACAAACAGCACAACGAGAAUCGGGUUCGGAAACGGAUCCUUUGGUUAUCCGGAAGUUGGGGAGGUUGUUGAUUUCGCGAGGGAGGAAAGCGUCGGUGAGAGAUUGAAGACGUCGAGUUGGAGUAGGACGGAAACGGAGACGGUGGAGAGCACCGGCUAAGAGGAAGAGGUUGAGGAGGAGAAAGGCGGCGAAACCGAGGAAGAGGAAGAAGAGGGAUGUGAGAAGAAGCAUGAUGAUGGGUUUGAGGAAUAGGGAGAGGAGAUUAGGGUUUGGUUUUGGUUGUUCAGGAUCGCCAUGGUGAUGAUGAGGAGGCAUGGUCGUGGUUGAAAUUGAAGGUUUGAAAAAAUGGUGGCAAUAAUAACAGAAGCUUGGAAUAGGAAUUAAACAAAUAGGAAGGAAUAUAGAAGAAAUGAAGGAAGGGUCGGGAUACGCGUAGAUGUAGUUACAAAUCUAGCGGCGGGUACGGUCCACGGGUUUAUAAUAAAUCUAUGUUUGUUUGUUUGGGUUGGGGGUAUUGUUUAUAUUUAUCGUCGUUAUCUUUCUUUUUAUCUUCAAACCAAAUUAAUUCACGGAUUCCAUUUCAUUCCAAAGGGGCAUAUGCUGCUAUAGAUUCCCCUCCGUUAGAGAGUAAUUGAUGCCUCAUGAGUAAUGAAUGGGUGAGAUCAAAUCUCUGUAAAGUUGGUUAAACUACGGAUUUGAAUUUGGCGUUAUAGAAAAGCACACUGUUCCACACUGGAAUGAAUCACAGUCGUUCAAAUCACAUUGAAUGGCUCAGAUUGCACACAAAUUUAACGCAGUUAAAUAAUUUCAGUAAUUGAUUUAAAUCGAACGGUCCUCAUCUGUUACAGCGUCCUACUGUAAUAGCAGGAAAUCCAAACACUGCAUCAAUUGGGGUUGUUGGAUCGCUUUUAUAUUGUCGAGAUCAUCUAAUGUGUGAAGUAGUAGUUAUAGAGAGAGUAUUUGAUCUCGCAUCUAUUAAACAUUAAAAAUUGAGAUGUAAUGAUAGAGAUUUAUUGAUAGAUAAUGAUAUAAACUUAUUAAUUAUUAGUGAAUUCAUUUAAUGAUUUUUUUUCUAGUGAUGGGGUUACAGGAUAAAGUGCUUAUUUAGUACUAUUAUCGAAAAGUAAUAAAUGAAUGAUGUAUAUAUAUAUAUGAGACCCAAUUAAGUAAGGACUUUCAUGCAAUCCUUCGUCAAUGNCUGGAAACACCACUUCCCGUUCGACUUGCAUGUGUAAAGCAUGCCGCCAGCGUUCAUCCUGAGCCAGGAUCAAACUCUCCAUGAGAUUCCUAGUUACAUUACUUAUAGCUUCCUUGUUUGUAGACAAAGCUGAUUCGGAAAUUCAUUUCAAUGAAUAACUUGUAUUCAAGGGCUUAAUAUUCGCCGGGAGAUCCCUCCCAUAAAUAUUAUAUGGUCCUAUAUCACCUUAUGUCAACCCCAUAUCCAAUAUCCAUAAUGGUUAUUUGAUAUUUGGACUGGAAGCCAAGUGAACAUAUUUUUCCACUGUUUAGUCAAAUUCUUGUGUGCGGCGGAGUCCACUUGACCACCAUUGUAGAUCUCAUCCUCCCGCAACUGCAACCCAGAAAAUUUUGAGUGAUUCAGUGUUUUUUUUUAUGCAAUGUUUGAAUGUCAGCUAAUAUUUCAAUAGAAAAUCGAUUGAAUGCUUUGAUUUAUACAAUUAAUAAUUGAAGAUUUGAACAUAGGUAGUUGUGUAAGCUUUUCUCCAUGCAGGAUUAAAUAUUGAGACUUGUAUAUGGCAGUGGCGGUCCGUUUGCAGAGAUGGCUUGGCUUUUGAGAUGCCAAUAAUAAAAAAUAAAAAUAAAAAAGUAAUAAAAACAUUUCAUUCUUUAAAUGCCGGUAAACAAGGUAAGUAGAUAAAUAAGUGAAAACGUGGCACCAUACACAUAAAAAGUGUUUGUUGGAGAGUGUUUGAGUGAGUGACCAUAGCAUUAUUCAUUAUGGCUCGCCUUCUUUUGAACCUAUAUACUCUUUAUUUUGAAAGACAACAUUCAGGGUUAACUUCGGAAACCUCUUAGUCCUUAGAAUUCCAUUUGUUUUAUAGAGGACAUGGAUACACGCAUUGAUUAUCUACGAGAUUUCUCUAUAAAUUAUCUUGUGUUGAAUUGUUGAGGGGCUAAUGAUUGUAAUUUUCAUUCUAUUAUCUACGACAACGAGAUAAUUUGUCGUGUUGAUUUUUUAGCGCAUCUUGAGACAAGUUAUUAAGAAAAUUUGUAUGCAAACUGUUACAUUGGAUGUUGUUCACAUUUUUGCUCGGAUCUGGUGCCUCUGGAGAUCAAAUAAGUUUUGAGAUGAAAAAACAAAGAAAUAGGACAUAACACAAACUACACUUAGAAAAUAAGAAGUCACCAAAAAGAACAAAUAAAGGUUCAACCUUGAGAAAAAUACAAAGCACAAAAAAACAAGUAGCUACUAAAAGGGGAAAAAUACAAAAUCAACAUGACAUAAAAUCAUUAACACCCAAAAACAUCAAUCACGGUCUGCUGGAUCCUGAUCGAACCACCAUCUCCCGAAACAUCAAAGCUAGGAAGCACUUGACAACCUACAAAAGAAAUUAAAGUGAACAAUCCCCAACGGGAUGAGCGACUAGGACAAGGUCCCACUACCAGAGAUAGGGCGACCUAGAACGCCUCCUAUACAUAAUAAUAUUGGGCUCCAACAUACGACAUAGGUCACUUCUGACUCAUAAAAGGUACAUUGCCUAGCUUAACCACCCAAAGAUAUUAUAUCAAAUAUGGAGGGCCAUGUUACAAGUGACAAACACAUGAAUGACUGAUUCCUCAAUCAAUUCACAAAAGGAGGAUGAGGAAGCAUUCAGAUCCAUGAUCACCCUUAUUUUAAAAAGAUUAUCACGGGUAAUGAUCCUAUAACGGAUAAGCUUCCAAGAGAAUGCGAUCACCUUGACAUUUCCCUACAUAUGGUAUUUUGUGUUGUUAAAUACUAACAUGGUAACUUGUAUUAUGCAUACAUAUAUGUAAAAGGAAAUAUCUUCUUAAACACAGUUGAACACGCUAGGAAGGGACAAUGACAAAGAUCACACAUCUUAUCUGCAAACAUUAUGUUUACCACGCUCCUCGGAGACCAUCACUGUAAUUUAUAAAGAGAAAAUUUCAUUCGACUGAAAGGAUUUCAGAACAUAAUAAUUUACCAAGUGACAAGGUAGCAUAGAGAUGAUCAAUUGGAAGACGAACAUAGGAUUUGAAGUAAUAAGAAAGUCAUGAAUCCAACUAUUCACAAGUAACUUUGUUAUUUUUAGAAAAACACAUUAAUGAUUCUAUUUUAUCCAAAAGGUGGGAGAAAAUAUCUUUAUUCAUACAACUUUUAAAAUGGAUAUAUAAUGGACUUCACUUAUAUAUACCAUUAAAAUGGAAAUGUCAUUGACAUUGACCAAUCCAAUUAUAAUAAAUACAUCAAUUCAAUUAUUUUUUUUUUCUCUCUCUUUCACAUAUUUUUAUGUUCAAAAAAUUUAUAUUAAGUGUAGCACGGUGUUACAUUAAAUGGACCAAUGUCAUCUGAUAUUAUGUCACACAAUUGACAUCCUAUAAUACUCUAACUAUUUCAUUUUGAACUGCAACAAUAAUAAUAUUAAUAAUCCUUUAGGUGUUUUCCCUUUAAAUAAACACUAUAGUGUAGACACAUUGGAACCAAAAGAUAUAAAAAUAAAUACGGAGUAACCACUUUCAUAUUAUUUUUUUGUUUUGUCUUUCAUAGUUGCCACAAUGUUUACCAACAGGCAAUAACAACAUUAUCUAUUGCGGUGGUCUCCCCCCACAGAGAUAAGGUUGUCAUAAUCACAAGUCUAUCCCAGUCCUCAUCCAACUUCAAUUAAAAAUGUUGUAAGCAUGCACAAGAUCAGGCAUUGUCUCUAGCUAGUCGUAGAGGCCGUUGCAUCGUGCAAGAGGCAGUAGAUGGUAUCGUUUAAAUCUCCAUAAUAGUAUACAAAUAAUUUCUACUGACGAUUUAUGGGCAUAAAACUACUUUAGAAAUAGAAAACAAGGUUACAACACAACAGCGCACACUACUUUCAUAAUCUUUGACACAGGUCGAAUAUCAGCUAUCUCCCUGUAACUAUUAUGAACUUAUAUCUAGAUUAUAAGCAAAUAUUGUCUAAUCCCUACAACUUUACCAAAAUAUAUAAGUUUCCAGUACAAUGCAACCAUAAAUUGUCCGCAUAAACAAAAAAUACAACUAUAAACUGAUUAAGAAUAUAUAAUCUCAACACUUGUGUACUCCAAUGCAAAGUCAAUUUCGGGAAAUGCUACACUAAUCAAUUUGUCAUGCAUCUAACAAUGACAGAAUGUCUUAUUCAAUAUAUAAAAUGCUUUCUACUCAUUGUUUUUGUCUCUAUCUCCUUCAAACAUAAUAUCUGUUAUGUUAAAGAUCUUGGUAUUAAACAGGAGGAAAGAGUGAAGGAUUGCUUGAUAACAACAAUACAGUAAUUAACGAGCGAUCUAACUCUCAAGAUCGUACGAUCUUGCGAUUCAACAAGCCACCACCGAUCUGGAGCGGGUUGAAGAUCGGAGAUCGCGACGGAUUGGGCGUCGCGCCGAGGAAAAACGGAAACUCGGCGAAUCGUUUUUUUUUUUUUUCGAUUCAAAGAAGGGGUUUGGGCGGUUCAGAUGACGUUGACCUGAUCCGAUUUGGUUGCGACCCGGGUUGGUUAUUGCGAUUUCAACCCGUAUCGCUUUGAAAGGUCAUAAUCUAUCAUUAAUUUCGUUUUUUUGGGACUUGCUGGUGUUUAAUUGAAUCAUUAGGUUAGGAAAUUGGGAUUUUUUUCUCAUCUUCUCUGAAAUUGUAAUUCAUUCAAUGAAUCAAUUCCCUCUCAUAUUUUAUUUAUUCUAUAAAAACAAGUCCAUUGUGCAAUUCCUUCUCAAUCUCACUGUGCAAUUCCAAAAAGACAGUACUUCAAUUCCCUCACAUCUUUCACGUUUUUAGACGAUGUUUAUUAUGAUGUUUCAGAUGAUAUUAUAGAUUUUUGUAGUUACUUUUAUAAUUUUGUCUAUUAUGGAAGAUCUUACAAUCCUUGUUACUAUCCUACAAUCUACGCUUUUUCUAUAUCCCAAUGAUCUUUAGUCGGAUCCUGAUUUCGACAACCAUGCUCCCAUGCCCAAUCAGAAAAUAAUCAAUCUUCUUUAAUAUGUCCUUUGCUUCUUUAAUAUGUCCUUUAUAUAAAAAAAGAGCAAGGACUUCAUGUCAAAAUUUUACAGGGGGAUGCAUUCAUCAAGAACACAAGUUAAAACACCAAAUUUCAUUGGCUUUUUGGAUUGGUAUAUCUGAGUUUACCUACUACCAUAAACACUUAUGAGACAAUUUAAGAGAGCUUAUGGAAAUAUCUUAUAACAUGUCUAUAAGUUGUUCUCCGCUUAUUUUCAUAAUCUAUGAAGGAUAAAUAAAAACAAACGUAUAUCAAAAUAGCUAGCCUAUAUUUUAUCUUUUGUUUUGUUAUGGAAAUAGCUUAUUGCCAUACACAAACAGGACCUCUAACCAAUUAGAGAACGCAAUUGAUUAGGCAGAUUGUAAUCAUGAUCCAAACAAAUUGAACCAAGCAAUUGAGAGCAAACAAUAAAACUACCAAAAUCUAAGGAUCAAGGACUGUGCAAAAAUGAUGAAAUGAAACUCGGGUGAAGACAAUUCCAUUAAAAACUACUCUGAGAAUCAUAAGAUUACAAAAGCACAAUCCCCCACAAAUUAGCUUCCUCCAAAAUGGGAAACAUGUAAAAAAAAAUAACCUUCGUGCAAUUCAAGCACAAGGGUACUAACUACUAAUACUAUUCUACUAUACAUUCAUAGAUUAAAUUCAUUCAACAUUAAUAUUACAUAGCCUGAGAAAAAGCUAAAAAAAAAAACUCACAAGCUAUUUAUUAUUACAAAAGGGUGAAACCAUUGUUGUUAUUAGAGCAAUUCCAAAAUCGUGAAGAACCUUCUUCAUCUUGUUCUACAACCGAACCUUGAGAAGUUUGAGGGUUAGACCGAACCGGUGUACGGCAAGUAGGACACGUGGCAACCUUAAGAAGCCACGUAUCAAUACAUCUCCGAUGAAAAACAUGACCACAAGCAGCGAGAUUUCGACACCAUUGACCAUUACGAAAACCAUCCAAACAAACAGCACAACGAGAAUCGGGUUCGGAAACGGAUCCUUUGGUUAUCCGGAAGUUGGGGAGGUUGUUGAUUUCGCGAGGGAGGAAAGCGUCGGUGAGAGAUUGAAGACGUCGAGUUGGAGUAGGACGGAAACGGAGACGGUGGAGAGCACCGGCUAAGAGGAAGAGGUUGAGGAGGAGAAAGGCGGCGAAACCGAGGAAGAGGAAGAAGAGGGAUGUGAGAAGAAGCAUGAUGAUGGGUUUGAGGAAUAGGGAGAGGAGAUUAGGGUUUGGUUUUGGUUGUUCAGGAUCGCCAUGGUGAUGAUGAGGAGGCAUGGUCGUGGUUGAAAUUGAAGGUUUGAAAAAAUGGUGGCAAUAAUAACAGAAGCUUGGAAUAGGAAUUAAACAAAUAGGAAGGAAUAUAGAAGAAAUGAAGGAAGGGUCGGGAUACGCGUAGAUGUAGUUACAAAUCUAGCGGCGGGUACGGUCCACGGGUUUAUAAUAAAUCUAUGUUUGUUUGUUUGGGUUGGGGGUAUUGUUUAUAUUUAUCGUCGUUAUCUUUCUUUUUAUCUUCAAACCAAAUUAAUUC